rnacentral:rRNA from 1 species
UACGUAGGGGGCUAGCGUUGUCCGGAUUUAUUGGGCGUAAAGAGCGUGUAGGCGGCCAGGUAGGUCUGGUGUGAAAACUCGAGGCUUAACCUUGAGAUGUCAUCGGAAACCAUUUGGCUAGAGUCCGGAGGAGGAAAGUGGAAUUCCUGGUGUAGCGGUGAAAUGCGCAGAUAUCAGGAAGAACACCGAUGGCGAAGGCAGGUCUCUGGGCCACUACUGACGCUGAGAAGCGAAAGCAUGGGGAGCGAACAGG